CAGUUCGAUCGGAGUCUGNAACCCGACUCCAUGAAGCUGGAUUCGCUAGUAAUCGCGCAUCAGCCACGGCGCGGUGAAUACGUUCCCGGGCCUUGUACACACCGCCCGUCAAGCCAUGGAAGCCGGGGGUGCCUGAAGUGCGCUGCCGCAAGGAGCGUCCUAGGGUAAAACCGGUGACUGGGGCUAAGUCGUAACAAGGUAUC
rnacentral:rRNA from 1 species